rnacentral:tRNA from 1 species
GGCGUGGUAGCUCAUCGGCAGAGCGUCCGAGACUUGUUCUCGGAAGGUAGGUGGGUCAGUACCACCCCGCGCCACCA